UCUCCUACGGGAGGCAGCAGUGAGGAAUAUUGGUCAAUGGGCGGGAGCCUGAACCAGCCAAGUCGCGUGAGGGAAGACGGUCCUAUGGAUUGUAAACCUCUUUUGUCGGGGAGCAAGACCGGCCUCGUGCAGGCGGAGCGAGAGUACCCGAAGAAAAAGCAUCGGCUAACUCCGUGCCAGCAGCCGCGGUAAUACGGAGGAUGCGAGCGUUAUCCGGAUUUAUUGGGUUUAAAGGGUGCGCAGGCGGACCAUCAAGUCAG
rnacentral:rRNA from 1 species